ACAGGGGCGCCGGGUGACCGGCUGAGAUGUACCCUUUGAACCUGAACCGGAUAAUGCCGGCGGAGGGAGUCUGUC
rnacentral:ncRNA from 1 species